UACGAAGGGGGCUAGCGUUGCUCGGAAUCACUGGGCGUAAAGGGUGCGUAGGCGGGUCUUUAAGUCAGGGGUGAAAUCCUGGAGCUCAACUCCAGAACUGCCUUUGAUACUGAAGAUCUUGAGUUCGGGAGAGGUGAGUGGAACUGCGAGUGUAGAGGUGAAAUUCGUAGAUAUUCGCAAGAACACCAGUGGCGAAGGCGGCUCACUGGCCCGGAACUGACGCUGAGGCGCGAAAGCGUGGGGAGCAAACAGG
rnacentral:rRNA from 1 species